GGUUCGAUUCUGGCUCAGAUUGAACGCUGGCGGGAUGCUUUACACAUGCAAGUCGAACGGCAGCACGGACUUCGGUCUGGUGGCGAGUGGCGAACGGGUGAGUAAUGUAGCCGGAACGUGCCUGGCUUGGGGGAUAACUACGCGAAAGCGUAGCUAAUACCGCAUACGCCCUUCGGGGAAAAGCGGGGGACCUUCGGGCCUCGCACUAUUAAACUGACCGAUAUCGGAUUAGCUAGUUGGUGGGGUAACGGCUCACCAAGGCGACGAUCCGUAGCUGGUUUGAGAGGACGACCAGCCACACUGGGACUGAGACACGGCCCAGACUCCUACGGGAGGCAGCAGUGGGGAAUUUUGGACAAUGGGGGAAACCCUGAUCCCAGCCAUCGCGUGUGCGAUGAGGCCUUCGGGUUGUAAAGCACUUUUGGCAGGAAAGAAACAGCCUGGAUAAUACCCCGUGCAACUGACGGUACCUGCAGAAUAAGCACCGGCUAACUACGUGCCAGCAGCCGCGGUAAUACGUAGGGUGCAAGCGUUAAUCGGAAUUACUGGGCGUAAAGCGUGCGCAGGCGGUUCCGGAAAGAAAGAUGUGAAAUCCCAGAGCUUAACUUUGGAACUGCAUUUUUUUAACUACCGAGCUGGAGUGUGUGUCAGAGGGAGGUGGAAUUCCGCGUGUAGCAGUGAAAUGCGUAGAUAUGCGGAGGAACACCGAUGGCGAAGGCAGCCUCCUGGGAUAACACUGACACCAUGCACGAAAGCGUGGGGAGCAAACAGGAUUAGAUACCCUGGUAGUCCACGCCCACAAACGAUGUCAACUAGCUGUUGGGGCCUUCGGGCCUUGGUAGCGCAGCUAACGCGUGAAGUUGACCGCCUGGGAGUACCCGGUCGCAAGAUUAAAACUCAAAGGAAUUGACGGGGACCCGCACAAGCGGUGGAUGAUGUGGAUUAAUUCGAUGCAACGCGAAAAACCUUACCUACACCCUUGACAUGUCUGGAAUCCCGAAGAGAUUUGGGAGUGCUCGCAAGAGAACCGGAACACAGGUGCUGCACUUGGCUGUCGCCAGCUCAUUGUCGUGAGAUGUUGGGUUAAGUCCCGCAACGAGCGCAACCCUUGUCAUUAGUUGCUACGAAGGGCACUCUAAUGAGACUGCCGGUGACAAACCGGAGGAAGGUGGGGAUGACGUCAAGUCCUCAUGGCCCUUAUGGGUAGGGCUUCACACGUCAUACAAUGGUCGGGACAGAGGGUCGCCAACCCGCGAGGAGCCAAUCCCAGAAACCCGAUCGUAGUCCGGAUCUGAUCUGCAACUCGACUGCGUGAAGUCGGAAUCGCUAGUAAUCGCGGAUCAGCAUGUCGCGGUGAAUACGUUCCCGGGUCUUGUACACACCGCCCGUCACACCAUGGGGUGGGUUUUACCAGAAGUAGUUAGCCUAACCGUAAGGAGGGCGAUUACCACGGUAGGAUUCAUGACUGGGGUGAAGUCGUAACAAGGUAA
rnacentral:rRNA from 1 species